rnacentral:rRNA from 1 species
CUACAGGGGUUUCUAAUCCUGUUUGCUCCCCACGCUUUCGUGCAUGAGCGUCAGUACUGGUCCAGAAGGUCGCCUUCGCCACUGGUGUUCCUCCCGAUCUCUACGCAUUUCACCGCUACACCGGGAAUUCCACCUUCCUCUACCGUACUCUAGCUCGCCAGUAUCCACUGCCAUUCCCAGGUUGAGCCCAGGGCUUUCACAGCAGACUUAACGAACCGCCUGCGCACGCUUUACGCCCAGUAAUUCCGAGUAACGCUUGCACCCUUCGUAUUACCGCGGCUGCUGGCAC